rnacentral:rRNA from 1 species
AUUGAACGCUGGCGGCAGGCCUAACACAUGCAAGUCGAACGAGUGGCGGACGGGUGAGAAAUGUCUGGGAAACUGCCUGAUGGAGGGGGAUAACUACUGGAAACGGUAGCUAAUACCGCAUACCAUCGGAUGUGCCCAGAUGGGAUUAGCUAGUAGGUGGGGUAAAGGCUCACCUAGGCGACGAUCCCUAGCUGGUCUGAGAGGAUGAACAGCCACUCUGGAACGGAGACACGGUCCAGACUCCUACGAGAGGCAGCAGUUGGGAAUAUUGCACAAUGGGCGCAAGCCUGAUGCAGCCAUGCCGCGUGUAUGAAGAGGGCCUUCGGGUUUUAAAGUACUUUCAGCGGGAAGGCGUUACCCGCAGAAGGGGCACCGGCUAGCUCCGUGCCAGCAGCCGCGGUGAUAC